rnacentral:rRNA from 1 species
GACGAACGCUGGCGGCGUGCUUAACACAUGCAAGUCGAACGGUGAAGCGAGUGCUUGCACUCGUGGAUCAGUGGCGAACGGGUGAGUAACACGUGAGUAACCUGCCCAUCACUCUGGGAUAAGCACUGGAAACGGUGUCUAAUACUGGAUACGACCAACCCUUGCAUGGGGUGUUGGUGGAAAGAUUUAUCGGUGAUGGAUGGACUCGCGGCCUAUCAGCUUGUUGGCGGGGUAAUGGCCCACCAAGACGACGACGGGUAGCCGGCCUGAGAGGGUGACCGGCCACACUGGGACUGAGACACGGCCCAGACUCCUACGGGAGGCAGCAGUGGGGAAUAUUGCACAAUGGGCGAAAGCCUGAUGCAGCGACGCCGCGUGAGGGAUGACGGCCUUCGGGUUGUAAACCUCUUUCAGCAGGGAAGAAGCGAAAGUGACGGUACCUGCAGAAGAAGCACCGGCUAACUACGUG